UACGAAGGGGGCUAGCGUUGUUCGGAAUUACUGGGCGUAAAGGGCGCGUAGGCUGUGCUGUAAGUCAGGCGUGAAAGGCCCGGGCUCAACCUGGGAAUGGCGCAUGAUACUGCGGCGCUGGAAGGCGGGAGAGGAUGGCGGAAUUCCCAGUGUAGAGGUGAAAUUCGUAGAUAUUGGGAAGAACACCGGUGGCGAAGGCGGUGAGCUGGGCAGUUACUGACACUGAGGCGCGACAGCGUGGGGAGCAAACAGG
rnacentral:rRNA from 1 species